AUUCUUUUGUGUUUUGCAGAAUAAAGAAAGCCACAGGAGUUUGGAAUGAUAUGAUUAGGGUUGCAAGACACAUGAGAACCAGCGGCACUUGGUGUUACCAAGAAUAUGAAAAUGAAUUUGGAGAGAUAAGGCGUUCCAUCUUAAACCCAUGUACAUUUUUCCUCAUCGCGCGAGAAUUGACAGCCACACUUCACAUAGCCUGAGGUAAUUUUUCCCUAUCUAUGCUCUAGGUGUGCAUUUGGUAUGAUAAUAACCAGGUAAUGUCGUUAAGGGCUCAUAUAUUAUGACUGAAAUCUGAGCUCUUGUAAGCUCACAAAAACCCAAGAGUAGAAACUAAACACAUUGG